UAUAUUUCUCAACAGAAAAAAAUUGGAGUCAAAUUGAAAUUCAAAAUGGUAUGAAUUGCAUCAAACUCCAGCCCUUAUCCUGUCUUAUCUGGUUUGUACGACAACCAUAAAAAGAUCAUAAUUUUAUGCACCAAAUUAAGAGAGCUUUUCAUUGUGAGAUACUAGAGAGAAAGAGGGUCAAAAAUACUUCUUUGAGGCAUGAGGUUUGGAUGGGUUUCCUUCUUCCUUGGCGUGAACAAAAGAGGAGACCGAUCUCCUCUCAGGUGAGUGACCUAAAACUAUUCUAGGAUUUUGGGUGAGAGAAAAACCAAAGAGAAGAGAGUCUUUAUCAAAUUUUUCUCCACCAUCCAAUAUCCCCUCUGAUCUAUUUUUGACAUCGAAAGGGUCUGAGGC
rnacentral:lncRNA from 1 species